rnacentral:lncRNA from 1 species
CGAGCUCACCAAGUAAAAUGAGGGUCUGUGGAAAAAGAAAAAAAUGAAUCCUUUUUUUAAUCCAAGCAUUCUUCAUCAGUGCAGUCUAUAUAUUGCCUUAGACAAUCUCAGGCUUACCCUAUCACUUAAAGAAGGAAACGCUGGGGUCCAGGGGAUGAAGUCACUUCCCCAUGGUCACUGCCAGGCAAGGUGACCCAUGACUCCCCUGUGGACCUGCUGUGCUGGGAUGCUGGAUGCUCUUCCCUCUGAGCAGCUGCAUCCUACUGGGAGCCACAAGUAAGAGAUGACAUCAAGCCUGCUGCUGCUUUGUUCUAAACUGGUGAGUCUGUUCCUUUCUGUAUAAAAGACACCUAGAUAGAAGAAGAAAAGAACCUGCCAUUAGUUCUACUUUUGGAAUCAGGAAAUGGCUCUUUAUCUGGAGUUAAAAAGUGGGAAUCCAGGCAGAAUUCCUGUGGGAAGUAAGGGUUAAUGGAGAUCUGAAGGAUGGGUAAGAGCCUGGUUGAAGUACACAAGGAAUCAUUCUAAGAAGAAACGUCUUAUAUGAAGACUCAGCUCUCUGAAGCACAGAGACCACAAGACAUAUAAGGUACUUGACAGGGUUGGGGCAGGCUGAGGAGGUGAGGCUUGUAAGUUCAUGUUAAAGAAUUUGAAGUGUGUCCUGAGGUCAAGGGGAAGUCAGUGAAGGGUGUGAAGCAAAAAAAGAGACAUGUUUUGGUUUGCUCUUUGAAGAAAUAUUAUUCCGACUACAACAUGGAGAAGGAAUGGAAAAGGGACAAAACCAGAGGAAAGACCAGUUUGACAGCUGUGGCUACAGCCCAGGAAAAGAGGGCAGCACUUCAACUAGGGUAGGAGCAGGAGGAUACAAAAAAAGUAGACAUAUUCAAGAGGUUUGAGAAACCAGAAUGAUGAUGAUAAAUUUGAAGUCGAUGGCAAAGGGCCAGACAUGAUGGCUCAUGCCUGUAGUCCCAGUACUUUGGGAGGCUGAGGUGGGUGAACCACCAGAGAUCAGGAGUUUGAGGCCAGUCUGGCCAACAUAGUAAAGCCCUGAAUAUACAAAAUUAGCCAGGUGUGGUGGCAUGUGCCUGUAAUCCCAGCUACUUGGGAGGCUGAGGCAGGAGAAUCACUUGAACCUGGGGGGCAGAGGUUGCAGUGAGCCAAGAUCACGCCACUUCAUUCCAGCCUGGGCAACAAGAGUGAGACUCCAUCCUAAAAAAAUAGUAGAUGGUAAAGGACAGAAAAUCAAGGAUGAUUGCUAGGUGCCUGGCUAGAGCACCUACAGGAAGGAAGGGGUCAUGUACUGUGUGACACGGACCGAAUGUUGGUGUUUCCCCAAAUUCCCGGUUUGAAGCUCUAGUUCCCAUUGUGAUGGCAUUAGGAGGUGGAACUUUAGAUAAGGUCAUGAGAGCAGAGCCCCCAUGAUGAGAUUACUGUCCUUGUAGGAAGAAGAGUAAAUAGAGCUUGUUCUUUCCACCAUGAGAGGAUAAAGCAAGAAAGUAGCCAUCUCCACAUGAGAAAGAGGGUUCUUACCAGACACUGAAUCUACCAGCACCUUGAUCAUGGACUUUGCAGACUCCAGAACUGUGAGAAUUAAAUGCCUGUUGUUCAAGCCACCCACUUUAUGCUAUUUUGUUAUGCAGCCUGAGCUAAGGCACUGUGGCAGGGAAGAGGAGGUAGAACAAUCCAAUUUCAGAUAGGAGCAGGUGCAACUGGGGGGCUGCCGGAUGUCUCAGUGGUUGAAUAGACAGCAGAGAUCAUAUGAGAAGUCCAGGCUAAAGAUACAGACUUAGGGGCCACAGUCCUCUGAAGGAAUGUUCAGCCACAGGCAUAUAUAAGGUGGCCAGGGUGAUGGGCAAGGGUGAGAAGAGAAGAGGAAGACGCUUGGAGGCAUCAACAUUGAGAGCAGCAGAGACUUAGCUUUGUCCACAGUGAUGUUCACAGUUCCUGUGGUCCAGAGUGGGGAAGAGUCCAGAGGUCAUAUGCUGAGUUAUAGGCAGGUGAUUCUAGUAUGUAAUUCUGCACCUGACAAUAACGUUUUUCGUGGCCUAAAACAGCAGGGCUAGAAGGCGCUGACAUCUAUGAAAGAACCUGCAUUAGAUCAGUGAAGUCUCAUGUCUACAACAUGUAGAUUUAAAAAUUAUCUGUAACUAUAAAUCAUUAUAUUCAUAACAAUUCUCAUGUGAUUCGAGCUAUUAUUCUCCCCCAUCUUAAAGGUGGAAGAAUUUAAGU